AAGUGGAGCAAUCCAUGAGUAAAGUGGCGACCGGGUGAGUAACACGUGACUAACCUACCUUCGAGUGGGGGAUAACCUCGGGAAACCGAGGCUAAUACCGCAUAACAUCGCAAGAUCAAAGCAGCAAUGCGCUGGAAGAGGGGGUCGCGGCUGAUUAGCUAGUUGGCGGGGUAACGGCCCACCAAGGCGAAGAUCGGUAGCCGGCCUGAGAGGGCGCAUGGCCACACUGGAACUGAAACACGGUCCAGACUCCUACGGGAGGCAGCAGUGGGGAAUUUUGCGCAAUGGGGGAAACCCUGACGCAGCAACGCCGCGUGGAGGAUGAAGCCCCUUGGG
rnacentral:rRNA from 1 species